UCCCCCUCCCUUGUCCGUUCAACCAAAGCCAUUCCUACCCAGACGCUCACCUUUCCCAUCUCGCCCAGUCGCUCGUCACCACGCCGCGCAGCAGCUGCUAUACUCCGCCCUUGCAGCUGCUUCGCCUCUCAAUUCGAGCAACAGCCAGCUUCAAUUCUUUGACUUCAGGUACGGGACUUUUUUUUCGCCUCUCAGCUCUCUAAUUCUAGUAGUCGCAAUCGCAAUGCUUUACGUGGCAGGAUUUACGAGGGUAUUCGCUGGAAUUUGUCGCUCAUCUCAUAUGAUUGAUUCUGGUGGGUCUUUGGAUUGGAUGACAAUACUGUAUGUUUCUUGAGACCCAUCAGCCUCAUCCACAGCGUCGCAAAGCUGUUUGCAAAGAUCCUUGCGUCGCGCCUUGCCCCUCACAUGCACAAAAUAAUCUCCAAGAGCCAAAGCACGUUCAUUAAAGGACGAAGUAUUCAUGACAACUAUACGUACGUGAGGAAUAUGGCGAGACGUUUUCACCGUAGCAAAAGGCCGAUGCUCCUCGUUAAGCUUGAUAUUUCGAAGGCUUUGACUCCGUCAGAUGGGACUACCUCUUCUCCCUCCUGAAUACUCUAGGCUUCCCACGAAGAUGGGUCGAUUGGAUCGCUGCACUUCUGUCAACAGCCUCCUCCCAAGUGCUACUAAAUGGGAUUCCUGGGGAACCUUUCGUCCAUGGAACAACCUCAUUGGGUGGGCUGGGCAAACUGGCCAACAGUAUUCCGGCCGAAGACGUUGGGUGGCAUGGGCUGGGCGUUCUUGACUUGCAGAAGUUCGCUAGAGCACUGCGUUUGAGGUGGUUAUGGAUGGAGCAGGCCGACCCUGACAAACCGUGGAGAGGCCUCGGGACCCCUUGUAAUAACUCAGACCACCUACUUUUUGCGGCGUGGACGGACAUACACUUUUUUUUAGCCUAGACCCUAAGUAUACAAGUUGUAGUAUCUGAACUCAACACACACCACACACACGCCCACCUCUAGAGCCUACAACCUAUACACACAACCAACGUCCUUCUGGAGAUCACCAAAGCCGCACAGAGCCUUGUAGACGACGGGCACGUCGUAGUCCCAUUGUGGCGCCACACGAGAUGUCCAGGACCUGCAGGAAAUAAAUACAGGGAAUAAACCCCAGUGUGACACCCGGUGCUCCCUGGGGGAGUCGAACCGGGGUGGGUGCGCGCCACAACCGGAGCCGCCACCAUCGCGCCACUCGCAGGUUCGCGACAUACACUUAGGGGACGGCGCUACGACCUCCUUUUGGCACGCAGCCUGGGCGCGGGGCAGGCGGCCCAGAGACAUCGCGCGGAACAUCUUCAGGAUCUCCAAGAGCAAAAAUAUUAAAAUAGGACACUGCAAGACGCCGUGCACCGACACAACUGGGUGCGCGACAUCGACCUUCGGCAUGGAAUCAACAUGGCAUCCCUUAAUGAAUACGUCGAUCUGUGGUCUGAGGUUGCGCUGAUCUCCCUUGACAAUGAGGGCAUUGAUGACAUAACUUGGAAGUUUUGCCAGAACGGGGUUUAUUCGGCGGCGUCAGCUUACAAGGCACAAUUUUUAGGUUCGACGCUUGCUACUUGGCCCGACUUAAUUUGGAAGACAUGGGCGCCGGAGAAAUCCAAGCUUUUCGCGUGGCUCGUAAUCAAGAACAGGCAGUGGACGGCGGAUCGGCUGGCGGCCCGGGGGUGGGACCACAACCCCGUCUGCCUGCUUUGUCGCACCCAGCCGGAGACGGCACAUCAUUUGCUCGUGGAGUGUCGUCGCUACUCUCGCAGGAUCUGGGCGGCAGUGGCUAGUUGGACAUGCUAUGAUUCGGCCAAGCCUUCGGGUUGGGCACAAACUUCUCGGUCAACGACUGGUGGGUACAGUUGGGAAACCUGCAGGGCGUGCCUCGUAAAGGCUUCCGCUCUUUGAUCCUCCUUGUUUCAUGGGAGAUUUGGCUGGAAAGGAACGCUAGAACUAAGGGAGCGGUCUGUGCUUACCUUGCUACAGCAUAUUAGCUCAGAGAUAAGGCUGUGGAGUUUGGCAGGGGCAAGGGACCCUAGUGAGCUGUGCGCCCCCCGUUGUUUUGCCGGCCCGUCUGUUGUAUAGUUUCUUUUCCUUUCGCCUGUUUCGGCUCCGCUCGAGCUGUUGCUUGUAAAACUCUUCUUUAUUAAUAGAAAUAGCACCAAUCUGGUGUCUGUUCGUUCAAUUUUUUUUUGGCUAUUGUUCUAUAGCCUGAACAAAAUCAAGACGAAAGCAUCUGCUUGUAUUGUUUUCUUCAGUAAUUAGAUCGAUGCAUUAUUGUAGCA